rnacentral:lncRNA from 1 species
UACCGUGUUUCCUAAGAUUAUGUCAUUUUCCUCCAUGUUAAAUUCGAAUGUCUUUGAAAGGAUGUGAGAAAAUCAAGUGUAUUAACACAUUUUUUAUAUCCAUGUUUUUUUCCAAUACAAGUUUUUUCUAUUUUCAAAGAGAGCUGGGAAAGUUGCAUGCUUUCUUGUAUUUCUUCGAUUGAAAGCGUUCUGUCCAGUGAAUGAGUUGGAAAGGCAAUUCUUGAAGCUAAUUAAUUAUAAUAUCCAAGUUCCUGGCAGCAUUUACACCAAAUACUACUUUGAUCUUUGCACUUUGGCACAGGACCAUGCUGUUUGCCUCUUUAUCUCCUUGACAGAGAAAGAACACGGAAGCCGGAGCAUCCUUGAGUAUGGAACUACUUGGAAAAUCCUUUGACAGCUGGCAGAGAAAUCUCCCAGGAAAAUGAGCAAUGGGAAAGCAUGGGGAAGAUGUGCUGAGGAGAGCCCUGCACGCGGAAGGUAGAAGGUGCAGUUGCUCUUCUCUCAGGACUUAGCUUAACAGCUAUAUUUUCCAGUCUGCCUCUCCCAGCUGCCUUAACUUACAUACUAAUGUAACAAAGUUCAUAGCGCCUGCUUUGACAUGAAAUGACAUGCUCUCAUAUAUUGCUAAUUCACUUCUCACUAGAUUUAUGUGGUCUCCCUGAAACACUUUAAGCUCCUAAUUACAGAGUCAUGUCUCCCACAUACUCAUGUCUCAGAGUAUGAUGGAGAAUGCUGACAUACCAGGCGUUUGGUAGACUGGUGGCUACC